rnacentral:rRNA from 1 species
GUGGGGAAUUUUGGACAAUGGGCGCAAGCCUGAUCCAGCCAUGCCGCGUGCGGGAAGAAGGCCUUCGGGUUGUAAACCGCUUUUGUCAGGGAAGAAAAGGUUCUGGUUAAUACCUGGGACUCAUGACGGUACCUGAAGAAUAAGCACCGGCUAACUACGUGCCAGCAGCCGCGGUAAUACGUAGGGUGCAAGCGUUAAUCGGAAUUACUGGGCGUAAAGCGUGCGCAGGCGGUUAUGCAAGACAGAGGUGAAAUCCCCGGGCUCAACCUGGGAACUGCCUUUGUGACUGCAUAGCUAGAGUACGGUAGAGGGGGAUGGAAUUCCGCGUGUAGCAGUGAAAUGCGUAGAUAUGCGGAGGAACACCGAUGGCGAAGGCAAUCCCCUGGACCUGUACUGACGCUCAUGCACGAAAGCGUGGGGAGCAAACAGGAUUAGAAACCCUUGUAGUCC